AUUGAACGCUGGCGGCAGGCUUAACACAUGCAAGUCGAGCGAGGUGAUGGUGCUUGCACUAUCACUUAGCGGCGGACGGGUGAGUAAUGCUUAGGAAUCUGCCUAUUAGUGGGGGACAACAUCUCGAAAGGGAUGCUAAUACCGCAUACGUCCUACGGGAGAAAGCAGGGGAUCACUUGUGACGUUGCGCUAAUAGAUGAGCCUAAGUGGGAUUAGCUAGUUGGUGGGGUAAAGGCCUACCAAGGCGACGAUCUGUAGCGGGUCUGAGAGGAUGAUCCGCCACACUGGGACUGAGACACGGCCCAGACUCCUACGGGAGGCAGCAGUGGGGAAUAUUGGACAAUGGGGGGAACCCUGAUCCAGCCAUGCCGCGUGUGUGAAGAAGGCCUUAUGGUUGUAAAGCACUUUAAGCGAGGAGGAGGCUCUUUUGGUUAAUACCCAAGAUGAGUGGACGUUACUCGCAGAAUAAGCACCGGCUAACUCUGUGCCAGCCGCCGCCGUAA
rnacentral:rRNA from 1 species